GAUGAACGCUGGCGGCGUGCUUAACACAUGCAAGUCGAACGGAAAGGCUCCUGCUUGCAGGGGUACUCGAGUGGCGAACGGGUGAGUAACACGUGGGUGAUCUGCCCUGCACUUCGGGAUAAGCCUGGGAAACUGGGUCUAAUACCGGAUAGGACGAUGGUUUGGAUGCCAUUGUGGAAAGUUUUUCGGUGUGGGAUGAGCUCGCGGCCUAUCAGCUUGUUGGUGGGGUAAUGGCCUACCAAGGCGUCGACGGGUAGCCGGCCUGAGAGGGUGUACGGCCACAUUGGGACUGAGAUACGGCCCAGACGCCUACGGGAGGCAGCAGUGGGGAAUAUUGCACAAUGGGCGCAAGCCUGAUGCAGCGACGCCGCGUGGGGAAUGACGGCCUUCGGGUUGUAAACUCCUUUCGCUAGGGACGAAGCGCAAGUGACGGUACCUGGAGAAGAAGCACCGGCUAACUACGUG
rnacentral:rRNA from 1 species